AUGUCCGCUUUCGCCUUCAGCCGGAAAGACGAAGCUGGGGGAAGCUCCCGCGUGUGCGGAUCUCCACCGCCUCCCGUUUCAAACGGGCAGUCCUUUCAGGGUCCGAUCCUGCCCCCGCCACCGACCGCCGCCCGGGCCUCGAGCCCCAUCCGUCUCCGCAGACUCGCGUCCGCUCCGCCUCCCCACCGUCGCCUGCCGAGCCGUGCCACGGCUUCCCGGCCGCCCAGAGCGAAGCCGGCGCGGCGGCGGGGCCGGGGAUCCAGCGGGCCGCCCCGCCAGCUCCUCCGCCCCCAGCUCGGCUCCACGCCACCGGCUGCCUCCGUCCGCGGCCGGACUCCCCUUUCCCACCCAGGCCUGCAGCUCGGCCCCCGACUCUCCCCUUCGGCCCCGCGGCGCGCACCCCCGCCCGGACCCCAGGCGCUUACCGUUUCGUUCCUCCCGCAGCCGCGGAACGCAGGCCGGGUCACCGCACGGACGGCCCGCGCAAGCGCUCGGUUAAAGCCCGCGGGACGGGCGACAGCGCGGGCGCACGAGGGACGGGGCUCCGGCCGUCAGGGGAGAAGCCGGGAACGGCAGCUCCUCCUCCGAAAAAGACGAAAUAAAACUUGGUUAAAUUUCUUGCUCCCUAGGCCCCGCGCAGCACAAGACGAAACAGCUUCCACGCGAGAGGCUGUUCCCGGUCCCUCGAGAGGCCUCGGCGAGGCGGGGGGCACGGCAGACCCCCGGGCCCCGCCGCCCCGGCCCGCUGCGGCGCGCGGAGGGGCCGCGGGGCUCGCUCCGAGAAGGCGGCGGCCACCCCGCGGCUCGGCGGCGGCCCGGGCGCGACCCACCCCGCGCCUCAGAACCGCGGACGCGCGCGAGCCGGCGGGGCGGAGGCCUCUGCGGAGCAGGCGGGCGACGCGCGGGCCCUCAGGGCGCGCCGGGGCCUCCCUCGCGGCUCCGAGGCCCGCCGCCUCCGCGUGCAGCGCGAGCCCCCAGGCCGCAGGCGCCCCCACGGCCUGCGGCGCGGCCGCCCUCCGCUCCGGGGGAGGCGAGGGCGCCGGCGAGGGCGCGGAGGCGGAGGCCGGGCCGGAGGCGCUCGCGGCCCGCUCCCCAUACCCCGCCCCCGGUGCGCGCCCUCCCCGGGAGCCGGCGACGCCCACGCAAGCCGGCGACGACGGGCCGCUACCCGCAGCCCCGACCCUGAGAACCGCGCCUCAGACCGCUCGCUGGGGCGGCGCCGCGCGGGGCGCCCGAGCGCUCUCCCAGCAAGCACCGCUCGAGGCGGGACAGGCAGCGCGGGGCGGGGCGGGGCGCCCGGGCGUGACUUGCCGCCGUAAAUCAGCGUGUUCAGGCCUGUGGCGGUUCCAUGAGGGGGUUGUGUGCCGGGCCGAGACGGCGGGGACUUUAGUCCCCGCGGGCCCUGGGCGCGCCCUGGGGCCCCUCGAGGAGAAAGAGGCGGGAGCUCGGCUUUGA
rnacentral:lncRNA from 1 species